GAUGAACGCUGGCGGCGUGCCUAAUACAUGCAAGUCGAACGCAUAGCGAAAGGUGCUUGCACCUUUCAAGUGAGUGGCGAACGGGUGAGUAACACGUGGACAACCUGCCUCAAGGCUGGGGAUAACAUUUGGAAACAGAUGCUAAUACCGAAUAAAACUUAGUGUCGCAUGACCCAAAGUUAAAAGGCGCUUCGGCGUCACCUAGAGAUGGAUCCGCGGUGCAUUAGUUAGUUGGUGGGGUAAAGGCCUACCAAGACAAUGAUGCAUAGCCGAGUUGAGAGACUGAUCGGCCACAUUGGGACUGAGACACGGCCCAAACUCCUACGGGAGGCUGCAGUAGGGAAUCGUCCACAAUGGGCGAAAGCCUGAUGGAGCAACGCCGCGUGUGUGAUGAAGGCUUUCGGGUCGUAAAGCACUGUUGUAUGGGAAGAACAGCUAGAAUAGGAAAUGAUUUUAGUUUGACGGUACCAUACCAGAAAGGGACGGCUAAAUACGUG
rnacentral:rRNA from 1 species